rnacentral:rRNA from 1 species
GAUGAACGCUGGCGGCGUGCCUAAUACAUGCAAGUCGAGCGAACGGACGAGAAGCUUGCUUUUCUGAUGUUAGCGGCGGACGGGUGAGUAACACGUGGAUAACCUACCUAUAAGACUGGGAUAACUUCGGGAAACCGGAGCUAAUACCGGAUAAUAUUUUGAACCGCAUGGUUCAAAAGUGAAAGACGGUUUUGCUGUCACUUAUAGAUGGAUCCGCGCUGCAUUAGCUAGUUGGUAAGGUAACGGCUUACCAAGGCAACGAUGCAUAGCCGACCUGAGAGGGUGAUCGGCCACACGGGAACUGAGACACGGUCCAGACUCCUACGGGAGGCAGCAGUAGGGAAUCUUCCGCAAUGGGCGAAAGCCUGACGGAGCAACGCCGCGUGAGUGAUGAAGGUCUUCGGAUCGUAAAACUCUGUUAUUAGGGAAGAACAUAUGUGUAAGUAACUGUGCACAUCUUGACGGUACCUAAUCAGAAAGCCACGGCUAACUACGUG